AUUUCCGAUAUUCGUUAAUUUGUUAAAAGGAUAAAAUAUUAUUGUUGACACUAAAAACCAAACACAUCUUAUCGUCAUCAUAUGUAGUACAACUAGUUUGAUCUGAGAAGAAAACAUAUUUUAAGACGUAUUUAAGUGUUCUGAAAUGGUAUAUUACAUCAAUAUUUAAUCAAAAACCCGAAGCUUAUUUGUUAUGAGGUUCAAAUGAUGUGUAUCGAUUCUGAAUGAUUGGUCUACUAUUGAUGAAAAUAACUGAUACGAUUAAAUAAUGAUUAAUACUAUUUCCACAUUAACUACAAGAAAAGACAACAUUAACGACGGCGAAACUCGUAGUAAGAUCAUCGUAAAUAAGGCUUUACGAGGAAUUAGCGAGAAAACAAGCUUUAUCGUUAUUCGUUUCUCGUAAUGCAUAUUUCCUCGCCAAUUUGUCGAAAACUAGCGAGAAACAUAUUUCAUCAUGAAGACAAAGAAAAGUAUUUUUCGUCAAAACCACGUAACCUUUCCACGUAAGGAGGACGCUACAUUUUUUUGUAAAUAACUCGAAAGUCAUUCCUUGUAAAUUACACGUAAACUCCUCCACAUAAAAUACUCGUUAAGCUUUCCUCGUAGUGCUGACGUAAAUGUUUUCCUCGUAACUUCUUCAUAAACUUUCCACGCAAUGUAGUCGUAAUUUAGCUUUGAAAUUACUUCGAUUUUUUAUAUUCCAGAAUUAAAAAUAAAAAAUAAAAAAAAAAUAUUUAAUUAAUUAAUAAAAAUAUAAUUUAAAAAUUAAUGUAAAUACGAAAACAUUUUAUACAUAGAUAAGUUUUGAAUUUAUAAUAGAAUCAACGAAAAGAAAAAAAAGAACUAAGGGUCGUUCACCGGUAGAAUUCCUCACUCCUCUGUACAUCCGCCUCGUCAUGUGUGUCGGAUGACUCGCCUGGAAUGGGAUUUUGUCUUCGCAUGUUCCUCAACAAGGACUCCCAUUCCAGAUUUGUGACCGCUACAACGUCCAAGAAGCCCUCGACUCCACCCAUAAGAGCUGUGAACGCAGAUCGCGUCGAGUCCAACUCGUUACGCAGGUGAGUGACUUCAUCAUCCCGUCUCUGACCAUAAGACGAUGUCGCUCUCGGAACAUCGUUGACGGAACCAAUCCCCAACGUACGUCCCUUUUACUUAGGGACAACCUUAAAAAUAAAAAACAAAUACUGUUAGUAAAAAGUUAAAGUUAAAUUAAAUGAAUAAUAAAAAAAAAAUUAAAAUUUUUUAACUUCUCGUAAAUCCUAUUCACUUCAAGUGUGGAUAAAGUAACGGGUAAUCCGUCGGUGGACUGCUGGGUCAGCUAGGUCUGGUUGUCUUCAACCCGACCAACCAAGUCGUUGAAGAUCUGCUCGGACCUAGCAUCUAGAAAUUGGCCCUCCUUGUUCUUGUGGAUCCUCUUGUAAAGUUGCAAAAGAGACGGGAGUUCUUGACCCGUAUUGAAUUACCAUAUCCAGACGGAUACCGGCGUGGGGUUUUUGACCCGUAGAGUGAAGCAUCGGCUCGUGGCCGUGCUCAUCUACCGUCUGACGGAAGGCAGAGCAAGAUUCAGCGACUCUAAUGGAGUCAGGAUCCCACCAAUACCGGAUGAGGCCAUCCCACACUUCCGUGGUGAGCUCAGGGGGUUUGCCACGCUCAUACUCCUUCACGAUCCAGUCACCCUUCCAGUUAGAGACCGUGUCCAACAAGCGAGCUUUCGCCUUCGCGUUAAACGUUUUCUUCACCUUCUCAUUGACCCCCAUGGACCAAUGGUAUUUUUAUUGUAACAGAAAAAAUUAAAUUAAGAGUUAGUUUUAAAAAAUUAAAAAAUCUAAAUCAGAAAAAAUUAAACUAUAUAUAAUUAAUUAAUAGUAACUCACAGCAAAAAUUUUGAACCACUGACGUAGAUCGGCGUCUUUUUCCAGUUCGGAUGUGGCUCGGAGAAGUAACCUUUGAUCGUCUCGGUUACGUUCCAAGCAACACAUCUGUCGACCUCAAACCUGAAAAGAAAAACAAAUUUAAAGUAUAAAUUAUUUAUUAUUGUUAUAAAAGAAUUUUAAAAUAAUUUAAAAAAAUGUAACUUAACACAAAGUUCCGUCUGAUCGGUCGGGGUCUAGGACUGAUAAACCUUCUCUGUGGCUGAGCGAGAAGGUCCUCGAACGUGUACUGCGAGUAAGGAGAACUCGGCGGCAUCAUCAAAUCAGGAUUAAUCAUGGCCGGCAUCGGAGGAGCCAUCAGAGGAGGCACCUUUGGGACAUGAGCAUGAGGAACCGGUGGUGCAACGAUUCGAGGAACCGAUGGUGCACCAGAAAAAGGCAACCGAGAGACUCUCUGAGAAGAUUGAGUCUCGGGGACAGUCUCCGGACGCGAAGAACCGGGAGCUGAAGAAGGACCGGGAGCUGAAGAAGACGGGUCUAAACGAUUACCAGGCUCCCCGAACAUCUCUCUGUAAUGGGGAGUAAGUCUGUUCUGUCGAACCGUCUGGAAAGAAAUUUUAUUUUUUAAAAUUAACAUCAAAAGUUAUUAACAAAUUUUAUAAUUAAAAAAUUCUAUAAAUCUAGCAAAAUUCCCUACAUUAACCAUCUAAUCAACACUAAUUAACAUAAAAUCCGUAAACCUAUCUGAAUUCCCUACACUAACCACCUAAUCUACCCUAAAGUAAUCAAAUUAGAGAGGAAAUAGAGAGAGUACGUACCAUUGCUACGAAAGAAAAAGAGGAAGUGAAGACGAAAUGGAAGUGAGAAGCUCGCGUGUAUAUAUAAGAAAUUAGUAAUCAUUGUAAUUACCUCGUAAAGUUACGAGGAACUCGCGAGGCCUGCGUUUUUUUACGAGGAAUUAGAAAGGCCCGCGUUUUGUUUCCUUGUAACGUCCUCGUUAAUUUACGAGGAAAUAGCAAGGCCCAUGUUCUUAUUUACGAGUAAAUACAAAGGUCCGCAUUUUCCAACUACGAGGUCUUUAUGACGAAUUCUACUUACACAGAAUUAACAAGUCCCACGUUCUUUAUUUUUAAGAUUCUUCGUAAGUUCCUCGUUAGUUUACGAAGAAGUAACGAGGAUUAUGUUUAAAUCCCUAAAAUCCAAAACACCAAACCCCAUCUUUCUUAUCUUCUACUUUAUAUAUUCCAAACCCCAAACCCAUCUUCCCUUUAACCUCAAUAUCUUCUUUCCAUUCCAAACCCCAAAUUAUAAAACAACAGUUCCUUAACUUAUAGUCUCAAUCUCUUCUUUCUAAUUCAAACUGCCCAUUACCUUUACACAAAAUUAAAUUAUAUAAAUUGAUUUUCAUUAUUAAAUCCAUCAAAUCACAUGCAUUAAGUCUGAAAAUCAAUCAUAUUAAAAACAAAUACAUCAGUCGGAUACAUCGACAUUCUCGUCAUCACUAGAAACAUCAUCAUAUUCAUUAAACUCGUCUUCAACAGCUUCGUCUGUGGUAUCGUCGGUAAGAUCUUCGUACUCAUGAUUAUGAGGAUCAAUGAGAAGGAAUGUCAUAAGUUUGUUUUUCAGGUUUCUCGACUUUAUUUAUCUGUUCUUCCUUCAAUGGUGGUUCUUCUCCAUUGAUGAUUCGUCCACGAGGUGUAACUUUGAUCACGGCUAACUAAUUUAUUCUCGAUUCUCUCAUCCGAGGGUAUGGAAUGAGGCUAACUUUGUCUGCUUGUGAAGCUAAGAUGAAAGGCUCGAAUUUGUUGUACCUGCAAAAAUAACGACAACGUAGAAAUUAAUCAUACAGAUCAUGUAUGCCAAAAAAAGAAUUUGAUGUACAUUCGUCCACCAUUGACAUCAACUACACCGAAUUUGUUAAACCGAACACCUCUGUUGACGACGGGGUCAAACCAUUCACAUUUGAAGAUGACACAUUUCAGCUUCAAUAACCCUAGGAAUUCGACUUCAAUAAUCUCCUGCAUGAUCCCGUAGAAAUAUGUUUCGCCUUUCACACAUAUUCUAUAGUUACUGGUUGCCCGCUGUCUACCACACUCAUAUGUGUGAAAAAUAUAGCUUCGUGUGAAAUAUAUAUGUGAUGUGGUAACCUUUGCAAGUGGAGCUUGAAUUACUUCGUGAAACCACGUAGGAUAAUCUGCUUCGUCGUCAUAAUCAACCUGCAAAAAUAAAGAGAACGUUGAAAUACAGAUCAUGUAUGAAAAAAGAGUUUGAUCGAUCCACCUGCAAAAAUUAAGAGUUUGAGUUAAUACCUGAUUCUUCAGUAGAUCAUGCAAUUGUCGAUGCAAUUGUCGAUGCAAACGUCUCUCAUCUUCGAAGGCAACCCAAGACUAUAAACCAAUUUCUGAAUCUCAUAAUAAGAAUCAGCAGACACAUUGUCUUCCGGCAAAUACUCUUUAAACAAGUCUGCCCAUUCAUUCAUGCAACUUUCAGAUAGAUAGUGAUCAGUUUUAAUAUUCAUCAUUUUAACAGCCAAUGACAAUUUAGAGAGACCUUCUCUACAACCACUGUAAAGUGGCUGAUUCACUGCAUCUAACAUUUCAUAAAACUUUUUUGCAUCUAUGUUAGGUUCUUCAUCUUCAUCAUGAGCUACGAAUGCAUCAGCUACCAUAUCAUGAAUCCUAUCAUAAUCUACCAUUUGCUCCUCCUGAUGAUAACUAUGUUCAUUAUGCAAAUGAUGAUCAACCGGUUCUUCCUGAAAAUUGCUAUUACUACUAGCUUCAUUCUCAUAAUUAUAACAUUCUCCAUGUUGAAACUAGAUAUAGUAAUUUGGCGUGAAACCUCUAUUUAUUAAAUGCUUUCAAACAUUUUCACGAUUUGCCAAUUUCGAAUUGUUGCAUUUACGACAAAGAUAGAACAUCUUAUUGCUUUCUUGGGCGAGCGGUGUGGAAUCUGCUUGAUGCAUAAAUGUCUACAGUCCUUCGAGGUAUUAUUUCGUCAUUCUCCCGUUAGCAUCUUUGUGCAUAUACAUCCACCUCUGCAACUCGAAAAUAUUCCCGGAGUCCGACUUUUUUUUUCUUUCACGUUUUUAUUUUUUUUCUUGUUGUUGUGUUUAAAAUGAUGUUCAAACAUCUAUAUUUAUAUGAAAUUUUCGAAUCUGAUAGUUGAAAGUUUACUAGAAAUUUACGACGAAAUUUAGUUAGGUAGCCGUAACAAAAAACGUGUUACAACUACAAAGUUGGUGGACUCGAAAUUUUGUCGUUAAGUAAACGUAAAAUAUUUCCUCGUAAACUAGACGCUAUUGUUACGUCGAAUUUAUGAGGAACACGUCGUUUUUACGAAGAAAUCGUUUUGUCGUUAUUUUACAACGAACUAACGUUGAUUUUAAAUUUUCUCGUAAGAUAAUCGUAAAGUCAACGUACAUUUACGAAGAUUAAAUUUCCUCAUUAAUUUUCGUUGUUAUAGUUGUGUUUUCUUGUAGUGAUUUUUAGUUGUUAAUGUGCUAAAUAUAUUUACGUUCGUAAAUACGUAUAGUUGUGGGGAUGAAGUAUUAUUUCAUAUGUGUAAUUUGUUUUCUGCGUUUAGCCAACAUACACCAGGCAAGGUAUUUGGAAGGAUCAACUAUAUGAAACAUACUGAACAUACCAACAUUCACACUUUUAAAUUGGAAAAAUGCUUAGAAAAAAAUACUAAGAAAUAUAUAUUGAUUUCAUAUGGUAAUAUUCAAACUUUAUAUAUUUUUUCAACAUUUUCGGAUUAUUAAACCAUAUAUUUAGGCUAGUGAAAUCAAGUGGGUUGGUUUACUGAUAAAAAAAAAUCGAUUGGUGCCGUAUAAAUGAAUAGAUUAUUGAGCUUUUUAUAUUUGCAUUGUAAUAUUGUAUAAUCACAACGAAAGAAUACUGCCUAAUAUAACGAAGCGUUGACAGAAUCAAUUAUUUUUCUGUAAUAAAAAACUGAAUAGAUUGAUAAAAUUUGAAGAUCGGUACAAAUAUUCGAGUGAGGUAAUCAUAUCCAUAAGUGCAUACUUGAACAAUGUACAAUUCGUACAAUAUAUAUAUAUAUAUUUUUUGGUCUGUUAAUAGUAUCUAUUUUGUCGAUAAAACAUAGUAUACAAAAGUAAAUAAAGCAGUUCAAAAAAAAGUAAAUAUAGUAUAAAUUAUAGCUUCUAGUCAUUAUUUGAAACAUACUAAUAUGUUGUUUUCUAGACUAUCAAAAUUUAUAAACUAUUAGGAUAUUUUGUGAUAAAAGGUCUGCAUCCUUGCCUUUUGUCAAAAAAAAAAAAAAUCUGCAUCCAUUUCCCAAAAAUGCCACGGCUGCAUAAAUAAUUGGCUUUUGUUAGAAGAUAAAUAUCAAAAGAGGAUGAUUAUCCAACUUGGAUACCUGUCCUGUUAUAACAUCAUCUUAGUCAUCUCUAUGUGUCUUGUUCUCUAUUAAAGGGAUGAUGACUAUGUAAUUUUGUUGUACUAUAAAUAACUGAGUAAAGUUGUUGUUCGUAGAAGAUGAAAAAGAUACAACAAUAAUAAGAAGAACACUUUCUUCUUUACUCAUCACAAUUACAAGACCAACUCUCACUCUCUCCUUUAUUAUUAUUCUAUUUUCUCCAUAAAUACAAGUAUAUACAUAAUCAUUUAUAUCCUGAGCUAAUAGUUCACAACACGUUAUCAGCACGAAGUUUUGACCAACUGAGGUUUAUCAAUCCGAAAGUUUUUAAACCAGUCGAGGUAAUUUAUGUGUUUUAAUAUACUUAAUUUAUUUAAAUAUUAUUAUUAUUAUUCCGGAGUGAGAGGCUAGUCCUUCUCCGUUUAUUUUUCGGGAUGAUAGGCGUUGCUUUCUCCGACUGAUCGUUAUGGUAGGCUGUGCAUUUACGAUCAGAUGAUCACGUGGUAGGCUUUACCUCCGUGACUUGAAAAAAAAGGAGGGUCACGUGGAAGGCUUUGCCUCCGUAAAUAAAAAAAAGUCAAAAAUGGUAGACUAAGUCUCCUUGGACCUUGAAUAAAAAGAAAAGAUUAAUAUGGUAAACCAUGUCUCCUCAAACCUUGAUAAAAAUGAUCAAUAUGGUAGUCAAUGACUCCUCGGAUCAUGUGGUAGGCUGAGCCUCCCGAUUUUAUUUAUGCUCUUUAAAUUUCGGCAAUUUAAUUUAUGCAUUUAUUUUAUGCUUUUAAUUUAUGCAUUUAAAUUUCCGUCUUUAUAUAUUAUUAUUCCAUGAAUAUGGUUAUCAUGUCAAAUUUGACAAAGCUCAAACUAAAUACCCUUAAUAUUACGAAAAUAAUUAUAAGACUUGGGCAGUGGGUGCAAAGAUGCAACUGAGAGAAAAUAAGCUUUGAGAAAUCAUCGAUAAGUUGAAACUAUAUCGGAUGAGAAAAAGAUAAAGCCAUGAUAUUUACACAAAUUCAAUGAUGGUUUAUAAGAUGAGGUGUAUCAUGAGAAAAUACCUGAAAGAUCUUUGAUAAAUAAAUCUUUGAAAGAAAGGAUUCACUAAAUGGUUGGAGUUGAUAUAAAUCCUCCGUGAAAACUGAAAAAAAUAAAAUCAUGAUACUAAACCAUCAAGUCAGUCCUACUAGAAAAGGACGAGGAUUUGGAUGCGGUAGAAGCCGCUAUCGUGGUCGUGGAAGAGGACGAAGAAGAAGAUUUCGUCCAUGUGAAAUAAUUAGAACUUUCACGAAAAAUGAAAGUGGUCGGGUGAUAAAAAGCAAACAAAAAAAGUUUGCUAUAGAUACGGCCAAAAAAAGAAAAUUGGGUAUGUAGUUGUCGUACGCCAAAUAUUUAGCCGAUCUAUACGGAAAAUCAAAAAGAGAAAUAGAAAGGAAGUAUAUUAAACUUCGUCUCUUAUGAGCCCGAACCAUCUUUCAUAGCUUCAAUACUCAUCUUGAUGAUUCAGAUUUUCUGGUUGGUCCAGAAAAUAAAAAUAAAAUAUCGAUGUGAUAUGAGAAUUAUCUUUCUGAAUGAGAUUUUAAGAUUCAAGAUGGAGAUAGAUAUACAUAGCAGAUAUUGAGUCAUCGUACAUGACUACUAAAGGUAACAAAUAUCUUUCCUCUCUCAAACUAAAUAAGUAUAGUAUCUAGUAAUAUAAACAUAUUAUUGGCUUUAGCAGAACUUAUGAUGAAAAGACAUGCAUAAGAAAAAGAUGGCAAAAUUAUUAAUGAAUGGUAAACCUGAAGUUUACUGAUAUAUAGUCAUCUCCAAUAAUGUUCAACAUUAUUGUGAAAUGCUGAAAAACUAGAAGUUUUUCACAUAUAGGAUGUCAAGAAAAUAAAGGAAACCAUCAUGGGUGAUGAAUCAUCAAACAAGUUCACAAUAUGUGAUUUCUUUAAGCAGACCCCAAAUUUAGAUCUCACUCUAAAGGAUUUGAAACAUAAUUCAUCCCAAAUGGGAAAACUGAAUAUGUUAUUGGUUCUAGAGUGGGAUUCAGUACGAGAUUUUAGACAUGGAGUGUCAUCAUCUCUAGAGAGAGAAUUAAAGAAUCCUAGUAAGUGGAACAUUGAAAAAAUUAUGUUCGCACUCGAAAAAGAACUUGAUAAAUUAAACUCAAGUAAGAUGAUCCCCAUGAUCGGAUGUAAACAUGCAGUUGUGCAUGUAAUAAAGACAUAUACAAUCCAGAGGGAUAAAGUAUAUGAAUAAUUACAAAUAUGCUCGCAAGUUUGCUAGAAGCAUAUGAUAAGCUGAUGGAAUGAGAUAUGUGAAAUGGAUUACAAUGAAAAGUAGGAUAAUCCAUUUCCAAAAUACCUGCCAGACAUUGUGAUGAAAUAAUGAAAUCUCAUAUUCCAGCUGAAAAUGCUCCAAUAAGAAAAUAGUGUCCUAAACGGACGAUAUAUGAGUCUAUGGCAUGCUAAAGACUUGAUAGACCACUUUGGUUCAAAAGAAUCCUCGAAAAGGAGCAAAUAUAUGAAUAGUGGAUGAAUCUCAUGAUGAGACCGUUGAUAUGGUUAAUAUAAUAGUCAGGUACCUGAGUAAAUCAUCGAUGAUAAAGAGAUCUCGAUUAACCAUAUCAGUACGGGUAAUAAAAUAGAACCAAAGAAAAAAUAGAUCGUCGACAAUAAAUGAAAAAGCACUAUAAAAGUAAAGAUUAUGAAUCUACCUCUAUGUAUGAGGGUAUAGUGAAUUGAUUGGCCAUCAAUUCGAUAUAAAGCUCGUUAGAAUAACGAGAGAUUUUUGGACCAAAAGUCCAAGGUAUAUAUUUCUCCAAAGAAUGAAAUGAAAGAUGACCUUGAGGUAUGAAAAGCGUCUUGUUCCAAGGUCACUGGAGAAAAUAUAAAAUAGAUGCAAUAUAUUGAUAUGUCUGGUAGGACAAGAACGACUUGAGUUGCAUCUUGAUAUUUAGAAGUCCCUGGAGAGUUAAAAAUGCUCUCGGGAAUGUAUAAAACUCUAGAAGAGUUAGAACAAGCUGUGUAUAAGGUAUCUUAAACCGGUAACUGGUGAUAUGUUUACGCCAUGAUUUACCGAUUGCCAUUUUAAUGAGAAUGAAUUCCAGCGUUAGGGAGAGGAAUUUGAGAAAUUCCUAAAUAAAUUACAUGGUGUACACAUUCGUUGUUACACUUUGGUCCCCCUACAAAUCAAAGAGAGCUGGAAGUUCAGAAAAUUGUGCAUUUGCAUAAUUUGGCAAACCAGUUACCAAAUGUGUUCACAGAUACGACAUGAUAUACCCGCUGAAAAUGUUCCAUCAAGAGUUGAUGUUCCUAAAGAACAAACUGAUGGUAACAAAAUGAAU